GUCCAGGUAAUGAAUCUUAGUUCAGCUUUAAAGAUACCAAAAAUUCAAAUAAAUCUCACUGUAACUUUAAAAGUUAAUCUAAAAAGGUACAGCCUUUUAGAAACGGAUACAACCUUGACUAGAGAGUAAAAUAUAACACUACCAUAGUAGGCCCAAAAGCAGCCACCAAUUGAGAAAGCGUUAAAGCUCAACAACAAAAAUUAAACAGAUCCCAAUAACAAGUAAUUAACUCCUAGCCCCAAUACUGGACUAAUCUAUUAUUGAAUAGAAGUAAUAAUGUUAGUAUGAGUAACAAGAAAAACUUUCUCCUUGCAUAAGUCUAAGUCAGUAUCUGAUAAUACUCUGACCAUUAACAGCUAAUAAAAAUAACCCAACAAUAAACAAUUUAUUAACUAUACUGUUAAUCCAACACAGGAGUGCAUCUAAGGAAAGAUUAAAAGAAGUAAAAGGAACUCGGCAAACACAAACCCCGCCUGUUUACCAAAAACAUCACCUCCAGCAUCCCUAGUAUUGGAGGCACUGCCUGCCCAGUGACAACUGUUUAACGGCCGCGGUAUCCUGACCGUGCAAAGGUAGCAUAAUCAUUUGUUCUCUAAAUAAGGACUUGUAUGAAUGGCCACACGAGGGUUUUACUGUCUCUUACUUCCAAUCAGUGAAAUUGACCUUCCCGUGAAGAGGCGGGAAUGCAUAAAUAAGACGAGAAGACCCUAUGGAGCUUUAACUAACCAACCCAAAGAAAAUAAAUUUAACCAUUAAGGAACAACAAAAAUCUCCAUGAGUUGGUAGUUUCGGUUGGGGUGACCUCGGAGAAUAAAAAAUCCUCCGAACGAUUUUAAAGACUAGACCCACAAGUCAAAUCGCUCUAUCGCUCAUUGAUCCAAAAAAUUGAUCAACGGAACAAGUUACCCUAGGGAUAACAGCGCAAUCCUAUUCAAGAGUCCAUAUCGACAAUAGGGUUUACGACCUCGAUGUUGGAUCAGGACAUCCUGAUGGUGCAACCGCUAUCAAAGGUUCGUUUGUUCAACGAUUAAAG
rnacentral:rRNA from 1 species